rnacentral:rRNA from 1 species
UGGGGAAUAUUGGACAAUGGGCGAAAGCCUGAUCCAGCCAUGCCGCGUGUGUGAAGAAGGUCUUCGGAUUGUAAAGCACUUUAAGUUGGGAGGAAGGGCAUUAACCUAAUACGUUAGUGUUUUGACGUUACCGACAGAACAAGCACCGGCUAACUCUGUGCCAGCAGCCGCGGUAAUACAGAGGGUGCAAGCGUUAAUCGGAAUUACUGGGCGUAAAGCGCGCGUAGGUGGUUUGUUAAGUUGGAUGUGAAAUCCCCGGGCUCAACCUGGGAACUGCAUUCAAAACUGACUGACUAGAGUAUGGUAGAGGGUGGUGGAAUUUCCUGUGUAGCGGUGAAAUGCGUAGAUAUAGGAAGGAACACCAGUGGCGAAGGCGACCACCUGGACUAAUACUGACACUGAGGUGCGAAAGCGUGGGGAGCAAACA